AGACUCCAUCUCAAAAAAAGAAACAGGAGCACAGCGGAGAACUCUGUUCAGACACUGACCUACAGACAGUCGCAGGGACCCAGGACAACUGAGGCGCCCAUGGCCGCGCCUGGCGAGCCCUGCGUGGAGCAGGAGGUCUGGAACCAGACAGAGCCUCAACCUGCCGCCCCCAGUCUGCUGAGUCUGUGCUUCCUGAGAACAGCAGGAGUGUGGGUACCACCCAUGUACCUCUGGGUCCUCGGCCCCAUCUACGUCCUCUUCAUCCACCACCAUGGCCGGGGCUACCUCCAGAUGUCCCCACUCUUCAAAGCCAAGAUGGUACCUGCCAUCCCUGGGAGCCUGGAACCAGGCAAUGUUUGGGGAAGCAGGGGACAGGCUGGAGCCUGGUGGAGUCCUAAAGUAGACUCCUCCUAUCAGGAUGCAGGAGGGACUCUGUUCAUCAAACAGGGCAAUAUUAGAGAGGCACCAGAGGCCAACUCAGUGGGACACAGUUCUCCCAAACAGAUUUUGUAAUUCCAAAAAUCCAUGCUUGCACAAACACACACACACAUUCCCAUGUUCCCAGACAGUUGAUAACUACCAUAAUCUGGCAUUUUCCAAAACGUACCAUGUAGACUCUCAGAUCCACAAGGUAAUUUUCGGACCACAUUAGGAUGAGCCUUUUAAAAGUCAUGCAUUGAUUUUUCUGUUUCCCCACUGGCUGUGUUAUAGAACAAUUUCGUAAGUGGUACAUAUUUACUUCAGUGUGCUGCGUAAGCACUGGCAUUCCAAGUGUGAGCCUUUCUGCUCAUCCAUCCUCUUCUCUGUUCUUGUAGGCUCUAAAGAAUGUUCUUCAGAGUUCAUUCCUUCUUCUGCCAUAGUGUUAAUGUUUGCAUCGUCACCCACCACCAACCCAGGGGUUGGCAAACUUAAGGAGCCGCUCAUCGCCUAGUACUUGAGGCUUUGUCAGCCAGACAGGCUUCCUUCCAAACACUCAGCUCUGCAGCAUGAGCACAGUAGGCACAAUCGUAGACAACAGUCAUAACUGU